UACGUAGGUGGCAAGCGUUACUCGGAAUCACUAGGCGUAAAGCGCAGGUAGGAGGUUUGGUAAGUCUGUUGUGAAAGCUCCCGGCUCAACUGGGAGAGGUCAACGGAAACUACUAGGCUAGAGUGUGGUAGAGGAAGAUGGAAUUCCCGGUGUAGCGGUGAAAUGCGUAGAUAUCGGGAGGAAUACCUAUGGCGAAAGCAGUCUUCUGGACCAUCACUGACUCUGAUCUGCGAAAGCUAGGGGAGCAAACAGG
rnacentral:rRNA from 1 species